rnacentral:lncRNA from 1 species
UUUUGGGCGCGGCUUUGCCCGCUGCCUAUUUUUGGCACACGGAGGCCCCUUGCAAAUUCUAGCGGCAUUCCCGUGUCCGGCGGACGAAGUAGGCCAGCCCCCACCCCCCCAAGUCUAUAGCCCACCCGUUUUUGUGGCCUUUCUCCGCUGGACGAACUUGGCGCCCCAGCUUCGGGCGGUUAUUUUUGGGCGCGGCUUUGCCCGCGGCCUAUUUGUGUCACAAGGAGGCCCCUCGCAAAGUCUCACGGCAUUCCGAGUCCGGCGGACGAAGUGGGCCAGACCUACCCCCCAAGGCUAUAGGCCGACCCGUUUUUGUGGCCUUUUUCCGCUGGACGAACUUGGCGCCCGGCCUUCGGGCGGUUAUUUUUGGGCGCGGAUUUGCCCGCUGCCUAUUUUUGGCACACGGAGGCCCCUUGCAAAUUCUAGCGGCUUUCCGUGUCCGGCGGACGAAGUAGGCCAGCCCCACCCCCCAAGUCUAUAGCCCACCCGUUUUUGUGGCCUUUUUCCGCUGGACGAACUUGGCGCCCCGUCCUUCGGGCGGUUAUUUUUGGGCGGGGCUUUGCCCGCGGCCUAUUUUUGUCACAAGGAGGCCCCUCGUAAAGUCUCGCGGCAUUCCGAGUCCGGCGGACGAAGUCGGCCAGACCCACCCCCCAAGGCUAUAGCCCACCCGUUUUUGUGGCCUUUCUCCGCUGGACGAACUUGGCGCCCCGGGCAUCAGGCUGUUAUUUUUGUGCGCGGCUUGGCCCACGGCCUAUUUUUGGCACACGGAGGCCCCUCGCAAAGUCUUGCGGCAUUCUGAGUCCGGCGGACGAAGUUGGCCAGCCCCA